rnacentral:misc_RNA from 1 species
UACGUAGGGUGCAAGCGUUGUCCGGAAUUAUUGGGCGUAAAGAGCUCGUAGGCGGUUUGUCACGUCUGCUGUGAAAACUCGGGGCUCAACCCCGGGCCUGCAGUGGGUACGGGCAGACUAGAGUGCGGUAGGGGAGACUGGAAUUCCUGGUGUAGCGGUGAAAUGCGCAGAUAUCAGGAGGAACACCGGUGGCGAAGGCGGGUCUCUGGGCCGUAACUGACGCUGAGGAGCGAAAGCAUGGGUAGCGAACAGG